rnacentral:other from 1 species
UUUUUCCUGCGCUACUCGUGCUUGGGAUCGAUGUCUUUCCGCCGAUAGUGACCGAAAAGGGGGCCGGAGCAAAGGAUUGCGAAGUGGACGUCAGGCCUUGACUGGAAGGCGGAAGCUUCGCCCGAGGUCCCCACCUGCUCAUAAAGGGUCGAAAGACCCGAUCCACACGGUAGCGCGGGGCUUUC